GACGAACGCUGGCGGCGUGCUUUACACAUGCAAGUCGAGCGGUAAGGCUCCUUCGGGAGUACACGAGCGGCGAACGGGUGAGUAACACGUGAGCAAUCUGCCCUUCACACCGGGAUAACCCUCGGAAACGAGAGCUAAUACCGGAUACGACCACUUCGGGCAUCCGAUGGUGGUGGAAAGCUCCGGCGGUGAAGGAUGAGCUCGCGGCCUAUCAGCUUGUUGGUGAGGUAGUGGCUCACCAAGGCUUCGACGGGUAGCCGGCCUGAGAGGGUGACCGGCCACACUGGGACUGAGACACGGCCCAGACUCCUACGGGAGGCAGCAGUGGGGAAUAUUGGACAAUGGGCGCAAGCCUGAUCCAGCAACGCCGCGUGAGGGAUGACGGCCUUCGGGUUGUAAACCUCUUUCAGCGGGGACGAAGCGCAAGUGACGGUACCCGCAGAAGAAGCACCGGCCAACUACGUGCCAGCCGCCGCGGUAACAC
rnacentral:rRNA from 1 species